UAUAUGUUCUCAUCUGGGUUAGCUUAGGGUUUUGAGAGCAGGAAGCCAUGAAAGUCGAUGGAUGGGAGAAAAAUGAUUGUUUCUGAGGGGACUGUUGUCUGGCUCGAUGCAUUAAUAAUAAUUAUAAUUAUAUAAUUAUAAUUAUCAUGAAAAAAGGGUAUCGGACCAGGCUUCAUUCCCUUCAGAAUCAAAUUCAUUGUUU
rnacentral:pre_miRNA from 1 species